rnacentral:lncRNA from 1 species
CAAUCACUUACAUUAAAAUAACAUAAAGUGUUGAUUAGCUAUACCUGGUUCUUGUGCCACAAAUUCCAAGAACAUGAAGAUAAUGGGUGAGGCAGCACUAUUCAAACUCCCCUGAGUUAUUUUUCUUUUCUCAGGGGGAAGAAAGGUCAGAAGGAGAAUGGUAGAUAAGCAGUUAUUGUAUUAAUCUAGGACAGAGAUAAUGGCAUCCUGAUCUGGGAGAAUGAAAAAGGGAUGAAAAGCAGACUUGAUUAACAGUGCUCCUUUGAAGAUGAGGAUCAAUAAUACAUAAUGACCAAUAGUAGCUCCCCAGUGAUGUGAUGCUACAUGAGCCUGUGAACAACCUGAAGUCAGGGGAGGCCUAACAAUGACCGUGAAAGGAAGAUUUAGACAGAGCCUUGGUCUCAUGACUGUGAAGCUGCCCAAUACACCCUACAUUGUUUUUGAACUUUUAUGUUCUUUUAUUUUUUAUUUUCGUACAUCAGAGAGAAAUAUGCUUCUAUACUGUUUGAGCCCUUAUUUUUAUUUCUGUUAUAUGUCGCUAAACCUAAUUCAAAUACAGUAUUUUCUCUUAUAAUCUUAUUUGUACUGAAGUAAAAUUUGCAUAUAGUGAAAUGUACAAGUGUUCAUACAACUCAAUAAGGGUUCUGGUUAUCUAUAACUUAGUGGCUUAAAACAAUUUUUUUUUUUAUCAACUCGCACAGUUUUGGAGUUGACUGUCUUCUCUGGAUAAUUAUCAUUUGGGGUAUCUCCUUAAACCACAGGAUGUGGUUUGAUGUCAACUGAGUCUCUAGUCAUCUGAAGACUUGAUUGGGUUGGACAACCAAAAUGGCUCUCUCACAUGCCUGGCAGUUUCUGCUUGCUGUUACUUGCGCACUUGGUUAGAACUAUAAACCUGAUCCUCUAUACAUGGCUCUCCAUGUGACAUUGCCUUCUCAUAGCAUGGUGGCUGGAUUCUGCAUGUCCCAAGAGACCCAGGAGCAAACUGUAAGGCUGUUUUAGUAGUUUGGCCUCUGAAGUCCUAGAGUGUCACUUCUGCCACAUUCUGUUAGUCAACUAAGUCACUGAAUUAAGCCCAGAUUCACAAGUAUUGGGAUUAGACUCUAUCUCUUGUUUGGGGGAGUGGCAAGGUCACAUUGCACAACAUACAGUAUGGGAGAUACUGCUGUGGUCAUCUUUAAAAAUUUAAUCUGUUUCAUUGAGUUUUGAUACAUACAUAUACCCAUGUUACCAUCCCUAAUAUAUAAUAUUUCCAUCAUGCCACCUUCCAUUCAAUCCUUACACCUCCCAUAGACCAUCACCAUGCAGUAGUUUUGUCUGUGCUUGAAUUUCUCAUAUAUGAAAUCACAUAGUAUGUACACUUUUGUGUUUGGCUUUUUUCACUCAAUGUAGUAUUUUUGAGAUUUAUGCAUGUCGUUGCUUGUAGCAUUAAUUUGUUCUUUGUUGUUACUGAGAAUAAUCCUAUUAUAUAAACAUACCACAAAUUGUUUAUCCAUUUUCCCACUGACAGAUGGUUGAGUUGUUUCUGGUUUGGGACUAUUGCGAAUAACAGUACUAUAGGCAUUCUUGUACAAGUCUUUUUAUGACAGUGUUUUCAUUGCUUUGGGAAUGGAAUUUCUAGGUCAGGGUGUAGGUGUACAGUUAACUUACAAAGGCACAGACAAAUAGAUUUCCUACAUUGUUAUAGCUUAUUUUCACUGCCAUCAGCAACAUAUUAGAGUUUCAUUGUUCUAUAUUCCUCAGAAUUUGGUAUUGUCAGUUUUUUUAAUGUUAGCAAUUCUAGUUAGUGUGAAAUAGAAGUUCAUUAUGCUUUUAAUUUGAAUUUUUCCAAAGACUAAUGAUUUUGAUCAUACUGGCUUUGUUGAUCUUUCUCAGAUUUUGUUCUGUAUAUCACCAAUAUCUGCUCUUAAAACUUCUCUUCACUUCCACUUUUUUGGGGUCUACUUUGCUGUUAUUUUUCCCAUUUGUAAUGUUGGCUAAUUAAUUUUUAGCUUUCCUUUGCUGUUAGAUGAAUGUUUAUGUAACAUUUCCUCUGAAGUGCCAUUUUCUUGCACAUCAUAAGUUUUUAUAUGUAGUAUUUUACUAUCAUUUAAUUCUAAAUAUUUUUCAAAUUUCAUUGUUAUUUCUUUUUUUGAGCCGUAGGUGACCUAGAAUUAGUGUUUUUUAUUUCCCAAUAUAUGUAGAGUUAAUUUAUCCUUUUGUUAUAAUUUUCUAACUCAAUUGUGUUUUGAUGUCAGGGAAUAUAAUCUACUCAUGUAGAUUACCUACAUUUUGCAAUUCGUUAAGACAUACUUUCUAAGCUAGCAUGUGAUCAAGUUUUAGAAAUUGUUGGCCUCCUGGUGCUUACAAGCAGCUGUGUGCUUGCAUUGACUGUACAGAAAAAAAGAGAUAGAGUAAACACACCCCGUAUACAACUCAGCCCAGGUCCUGUGCCUUGUCUAUAUUGUGAAUAGGGGGGACAUAGAAAAAACAAGAGAGAGAUAAAUUGUUCUUGUGUGUUUGGGAAAAAUGUAUAUUCUCUAAUAAAUAAAUAUAGAAUUCUCUAUAUGUCCAUUUGGUCAAGCAUAGUAAUUAUAUUGCUUCUAUAGCUUUGCUAAAUUUUUGUUGUUUGUUGUUGCAUACUUAUCAGUAGUUAAAAAGAAUAACUCGAACUCCUGUUUACUAAUUUAUUCUCACAGAGCUGCACUUACAAACCUCUUUCUCUAACAUGUUUAAAAUAGCUUUUCAUUUCUCCAGGGGCUUAGCUCAAGUGUUUUAUUUUUUCUUUUAAUCUAUAAUAUCUUGGAUUUCACGUUUCCUUCUUUAGUCCUUCAAAGUUGCUUUUAGAGACAGGAGCCAAAAGCCAUCUUUACUGGCACUAAAACUCAUGUCACUAACUUUUCUGUAUUAAUUGUUUAUCCAGAAAUCUCUUCUUAAUUGGAUAUAAUCUAUUUUUUGUUUGUACAGAUUCUUCAGAGAUUUUAAUGUAAAUAUUUAAAAAAUAAAUAUGGUCCCUCUUCUUUUCAUGUAUUUAUAUUCUUUAUUCUUUUUCUUUUUAAGGUUAUUCUUGACUGCAACUGCCUAUUACAUUUUGAGUAGUAGUAAUGAUAUAGACACCCUUUUAUGGUUUCUGGCUUUUAAGAUAAAGCUUCCAAUGAUUUAUCAUUAAUUAUCAUGUUUGUUUUAGUUUUUCCUAGAUACAUUUAAUUAAAAUAAGGAGAACUGUUCUUAGCUUGGAAAGUUUUUUUAUUUGUUUUUAGAAUCAUGAAUGGAAACUGAAUUUAAUGGAAUUAUUCUUUGGCAUAUAUCAAAAUAUUUCCUACUAUUUUGCUUUAAGUACAUCAAUACACCAAUGUUAUGGUCUGUAAAAAUAGAUUUUACAGUAUUAAAUCAUCCUUGCUCUUCUGAGACUAAACCCAUCUCCGUUAUAAUGAAUUCUUUUUUAUUGAUAUCCCUAGGUAUGGUUUUCUUAUGUUUUGUUUAGAAAUGUUUGCAGCUAGGUUAAUAGGUAAUAUUUCCCAAUAAGUACCCUUUCCCAUACUGCCACAGAUUCUAUAACCUUGAGUGGCUCAAAAUUUUAUAUAUUUUUGUAUAGAAUAUAAUAAGAUUGUUGAAACUCUAAAAAGGCAUAAUAAUAAUAAAACUACUAAAAGCCUUAGGAAGAUAUUCUGGAAAGAAAGAAUGAGCAUAAUAAAAAUAGAUAAUGAUAAAAAUAAUUAAAAUGAUUUUAUUAACAAUUUUAAAAGCAGUUUUUGUUUAAGCGUGCUGGUUAUUCUUUUGAUUAUUAUAAUAUUAGAUAUUGUAUUUUUUUGGUUGUUUAAACAUCUAAGAGAAUCACAUGUACUCUCUCUCUAUAUAUAUAUUACAAGGCCACAACAUAUAUAUGUGUGUGUGUGUAUCUCUUUGUAAUUUAUAAUUUAAUGCUUAAAAAUUGUUACAUCUAUGUAAUUGUGAAUCAGUACUUUCAGUAUUUUAUUAUAAAAGGCCAGCUAUGCACAAAGGUUAAUAAAUCCCCAUUUAUUUUUAACCUGUA